GAGGACAGUGAGGAACAAGAAGGAGAAGAAGAAUGAGCUGCUCAUCAUGGACCGAGGGCAGAAUACUCGGAAGCGCAUCGCACCAAAUUUGGAGAUGGUCAUGGAUUAGAAAUUGGUUUGUAGGGAGUGGCCCAAUUUAAGAGGAAGUAUAAAUGAGAGAAUGUGAUGUAAACUUAGGAAAGGAGACGAAUUUUCUUGUUGGCAUUAUUUCCGCCGCGUGACAAAGAAAGUUGAGACAUGUUGGAAAUAUCUUCGAAGUUUGAUGUGUUAAAGAAGGUGUUAGGAAGUGCAACUAGGCAGCCAUUUGAAGAAGUUCAUGGACUUGAAAAGACUUGCACUGAUGAGGCCUCAUCUAAGAGGUGGGAAACUCUGAUCGAUAGCUAGUAGUUAUUAUAAACACUAGUCCCUGAAGAUCCAGGAAAUUAUACUCGAAACUCAAGACGUACAACUGAAUACUCAGUGGAUGUUACUCAUCAACUACAACCAAGGUCAAAUUAUACCAUGUAUUAUUUUUCUUUCUGUGCUGACAGCUCCUCCUCUCUUGGAAUUGUGACUUUUCCAGAUGCUCAUGGACAGGCUUGACGUGAAGCGCGGGGAAAAGAAAACUGGAACAGACGGCACUGGUAAUAUACUUUUCAGUCAACGAAAGACUUUUCAUUUCCAAAAAAGGCUACAGUUGUUCGAUCACCUUCACAUGGGCAUGAGAACUCGCCAGGAAGUCCAGUCCGUGGAUCAGAACAGGGAUCCGUGCAACCGUAAAAUAUGCUUAUGUUCUUGACGGCGUCAGUGUACUCGAGGAGUCUGUGAUUAUUUAUGGUCAUGUUUCGGUAAUGAUCUGGCAGGCAUGGAUCGAUCAAGAGAUCACGCCGUGCUAGAUUCAUCGUUCGAUUGGUUUGAUCGAUGUUGAAGACUAUAUAUCUCUGAUCCUCAAAAACCAUGGAAGUGGACCCAUCGCCUUCACAUAGUAGUUCAAAUCCCUCGAGACCACAAUACCCCGGUCUCCACAUACGCCUAUCAGCCAACCCCCAGAAAGGAGGCAUCACAGCAUCGCAGCAGAAAGACGAGGACAGUGAAGAACAAGAAGGAGAAGAAGAAUGAGCUGCUCAUCAUGGACUGAGGGCAGAACACUCGGAAGUGCAUCGCACCAAAUUUGGAGAUGGCCAUGGAUUAGAAAUUGGUUUGUAGGGAGUGGCCCAAUUUAAGAGAAGUAGACGAACUCUGCAGUCUGGUUGUUGAAGCCGCUCCACCCCUUUGUCUAUUCUCAUUUGGCGUGUCCCAGUCGAGAAUGAAUCCCGUGUUAGUCGCCCCGGCAAACUGGUUGUUCAAAUUCAAUUCCGUCACCUCCAUCUCCCUGACAGUCACCACCACAAUGUCCUCGCACUCCCCGGCCUAGUCUCGAACUCCUCCGAUUCCUUCCCUUGCAAGAACACAUACGAUGGCUUCCCCAUGUACUGGCCCAAGCCGAGAUAAAGCUCAUGGGGGGUGGUGCGUAGACCCCUUCAAUGCUGCAGUUGAAGUAGAAGGUGAUGUUCACGUCAUCCCCAUUGUAAUUGAGUGGGAGGGAUUCGAUGGUCACAUUGUGCUGCGCCCUUGGGCAGGGUUUCCCUGCCACAUCGACGCCGGGCGAGGGUGAUGCUCUGGGACUCAUUAUCGAUGUGCUUGAUGUAGUAGUAGUUUCCCUUGGACAGGAUAGGUGUCGUUGGAGACGGGGCAGUUGAGGUCGAAUCCCGGGUAACCACAACAAGUGCUUGGUGUGGUGGAGCCGUCGUCGAUCUUCUAGAAGGGGUAGCUGAUGGCAACACCGUUGCAAGCAGUGCUGGAGCAGUGGGAGAAGUUGGCGUCUCCACCUUGGAAAUGGAAGGUCAUGAAUAAGACACAACGAAGAAAAAGGAAGCAGAGAAGGCUCCCUAUGCAUGCAUUUGUUGAGAAUGUUAAUCUCACAUUGAAAAAUCAAAAAGAAAAUCAUGAGUUUAUACGUGACUUGUGUUC